AAUUGACCAAUUACAAUCGAAUCCGAGAAGAAUAAGCGACUGUGAUUCGCCCAUUUCUUAUGGCUUAAGGCUUAAAACCCUAUUGUAGAUCCGGGGUUAAUAACGCGAACUUCCGUGCGUAAGAUCUCUGUUUUCUUUAAGUCCGGAUCUACAAUAGAGUUUUAAGCCUUAAGCCAUAAGAAAUGGGCGAAUCACAAUCGCUUAUUUUUCUCGGAUUCGACUGUAAUUGGUCAAUU
rnacentral:pre_miRNA from 1 species